rnacentral:lncRNA from 1 species
GUGUGUCCUGCGGAGUACACAUCUUGUGACACGUACACCAACACGAAGGUAACUCCAACAAGGCCAAAUACCCUCAACUUUGUGCUGCUACAGCUAUCGAUUUCCAGAUUCAAUGUGUCACCGUCUUGUUAUACCUGCCUGCAUUGACAACACUGCUUGAUUAGAUUUCCAUGGCUGCACGACACCUGUUUGUAUAAAUGCACCAUCCAGCACCAGGCUAACAGAAGACUCCAAACAGGUGGGUCUCAAUCAGAUUCCACGUUGCCCCCGAAUCAUGGAAGGGUUUGAUGUGGUUCUUGAGCUUAGAGAAGACCACCUCCAUGAAUCAUGUCAUUUUGCUCACCUAACUGGCAUGUGGACCCAGCCUCAUGUCUCUCUGGAGCAGGACAAGCAGUCUGGAAACAGAUCCAUGCUUCUUUGGGUACGAGGAUAUAUGAUUCUGCUUUGCACCUUCACAUGUGGGUGACCUGCUCAGGGCCUACUGAUAUGGGGUAAACCUUUAAUCUUUUACUCGAUUUGAAGAAUGAGUUGAACAACCAUGACUUCUGAAACUUGCAUGUUUUAGUUACUGUACAUAUAUUUUGUUUACAUUGUGUUGUUGCUGGUUGUUCUUCUGGUCACUAUUUUGACAUUAGUUAUCUGUAGUGUCAUGACCAAAAGUAUCUUGAGUUGCAUUCUAGUGACAUAUAUCUAUAUGUAUAUAUUCAGCUUUUUGGAAUAAUUAUAGUUCUAGUUCAGUUCACAAUCACAGCUAAAGCUUUGCCUAUUGUAUGUGCAUCAAUCAUGCAUAAUACAGAAUUUCUGUAUAAUCAAUGCAUUUGUACCUGAAGUAGAAAUGUGAUGCUUUCAGAUUGUGUGCGCGCGCCAUGGAAUAGUUAUACUUCAUGGGUAGUUAGUACUUGAAACAUUUACCAGCUUCCGGUGCUAUCUAAAAGAAAUAGAAGAAGAAAAAUCUUAUCCAUGUUAGUUUGAACAGAACUAAGAACUCACAAAAAUGACUGCUUACAGUUGUGCCAUAAGUUUCUCAACCAUCCACAAUAACCUUUCUGAGAUGCAGAGAACUUACAUGUUUUAGAUGAGUAGGUUGGCUGGAUAUAGAUUAUAAGUUUGAUACUCCCUUAAUUUUGAAAGAUUUUGUAGCAGUAGCCUCAGAGUAACAGCACUCCAGUGAAAUGAACCGUCCAGGCAGUAAACUAUAGAUGUUUUGCUAAGGAAAGAAGGAAAAAAGUAUACCAUACGAUCGAUGGAUUUGACAUUGUCCAACCCUCACAAACAAUGAACCACACCAUUGCUAUUGGACUGAUUUUUAUCUGGUUUUCCCUUUUGUGAGCUGGUUUCAUGAUCGCAUUCACAUUACAAAAUUGCCUGAACAAUGACUCUUUGAUAUCUAAUACAUUGUUUUAGAUAUUGAAGAACCAAUCAUUCUGAUGCCAUGUUGUUGACAUUGAAAUAAGGGUAACAUAAAUCUCCAGUUCUGAAGACUCUCAUCAUUAUAUUGUUAGUUGUUUCAUUUAUUCUAGUGUAGAUUACAUAAUACAAUGUGAUCAUUAUAUGUUGAGGGAGAUUAAGAUAUUAUAAAGGCCAUCCAUGAGUUUGGUCCCUUCAUGAGGUAGUUCCUGCACAGUCUAGUUAUUACUGUUUUAUGAGAAUUAAAAGAGAGGGACAUUAAUUCCCACACAGAAUACCUGGUCAAACACUUGGGCUCUUGAACCUUUAAAAUUAUCAUCUUAAUAUAUGUUCUGAAGUUGAUUUAUGCAUCAUGACUUGCACUAGUGGAGCAACCAAUCCACUAGUAGACAAGCAAAUUAGCACCAAACAAACCAAUACCUGAACGCACUACUUCUUGCAAGAUGGAGAGUCAAUUAAACAUUCACAGAGAGACGAGAAGUAGUAUUGCAAAUUAAACCUGUCACAAACUACUACUCUUACUCCUGUAAUUAAUACACAGUAAGAGGCACAGUUCUUAGAGGUUCCAAUCCUUUUUGUUCUGCAUUUUUUUGCAAUUUAGUGGUUUUAACUUUGUCUCAGAAAAAGAAAAACACUAUUUUAUCUUUUGUUUUAUAGUUAGAGCUGAUGCUCCCUCUUCAGAACCAAACAUGGGCCAAGAAAUCGGAAGACUUUCUACUCUGUGUCAGCUUGAUGGUCUACAGUAGUGGAUAACUGUAGGGAUUAUUAGCCCAGGAGUACCCACAUGAAACCUUGUCUUGAAUUCCAUGGUGAAGGUUCUAUUGUGGCACUCCUGAUGACACACAAUAAAGGUCACUAAUAUCUAUAAAGACAUCAAUUACAGUUUAAAUCAUAGCUUAAAAGAAUUAUAAAUGACAGAAUUUUUGUAGGUUGAUAGGUUUAAUUGCUACAAUGUUGACAAAAUCAACACUUAAUAAGUAUAUGUUCUCUAACCUAUGGUGUUCCUCUAAUUAAAUUGAAAGUUGUAGAAAGCCACUUUGCUGACUUCAGCUCUAAGCAGAUAAUGCAUGUUGUUUAUAGUUGCUCAUCAGCCAAUUAGGAUGUAAUUCUAGAGCUAAAUGUAAACCACAUCUCUGUAAGUCAUACAUGUUGGAAUUGAAUUCUUUAUCUAGAACUGAACUUUCAUAUAGAUUAUUAGCUCACAUCCUUAUCAAAUGAGUCAUUUAGUAAUCAAGUGUCCAUGUUGUUGAUGCUGAAACUUCUCUGACACAGUCUAAACCUUAGAGACAUGUUCUUUGAGUUUAUCUGCAGAUCACAGCAAUGAGGGCCAAGAGAUGUUAUAUUCUGAUCAUGUAUUGGACCAACAGAAAAUUAUAUCCAAUCAAUGUCUGCCAAAGAAAGAAAACCACAGUUGAGGACAAGAUGGGUCUGAGCAAAACCAGUGGCUGUAGUGUGUUUGCAGCCACUGAUGAAAGCAAUCCUCCUAUCACAUCUUGAACAACUGGGACUGGAAUGGGCUGUCACUUGCUAUAUAAAGGUUUGCUUAUAGAAUCUUUCUUCCCCAGUAUGCAUAGGAUGAAGUGAUAGUUAGGUUCAGACCAAUAGAAUUUGUGUUCUCUAAUCUCUUUGGACCAGUCUCCCAUUUUGAUCAAAUUUUUGACAUGAUUAUAGAAGUGGAAUACAUAUUAAAAUGAAUCAAAUGAUGAUAGUGUUACAUGUAAAAGACACCAUACAGUCACAUCUCAAGGGACUUGAAUGUGUAUUAACUCUUCAAGCUCUCAAAGGGAGCCACAUAUUUUGGAAUGUGCCCCUUGAGCAUAUCCUCAAGGUGGCCCAUGCACAACUCUACCCUGUUCAUAUAUGGCUCCAAGUUGACUGACCUCAUCCUCAUCAUUUACAAGAACAUUUCACGUGUUGCAGAAAUGCUAUGCUUCUCACAGAAAUCUCAAUCUCAACCUUUUGGAUUGCCCCUUCCCUAGCAUGGCCCUCCUGAGUCAUGAAGUAAUAAGAUCAUAUCUAAUCUCAUGUUAAUUUUGAGAGUUAGAAAAUCAAGAUGUUGUAAGGGGUCCAUCCUAGAACAGACACUUCCUUGCGAGUUUCUGUGCUCGUAAUGAUGAAAACAAAUAAUGAUUUAUGUCAUGAUAUAUGAGAGAAACAUUGAUCCCGAAACGAAGGGAGUUUUGAUAAGAUCAUAUUUAGUCUCAUAUUAGUUAUGUCUCUAUCUCCUAGAGUUUGGGGGGCUUAUCCUAGAGCGGAUAAUUCCUAGGGUGCUUGCACCAGAUAAAACCUAUCUCUAAGAAGAAGAGUCACAUCAGGAAGGUCAGGUAGGACUUGGCAGGUUUUAAAAGGCACUUUAAGACUUUGAGCUGCCAAACUUUGCUUUAUCAACAGCACUGCAGAACAGGAGGAAUUAGAUGGCCUAUGCAACAUCAAGCAUUGUGGUGAGUUUUGAGAUAUGGGGACUAACAGCAACAACAUGAAGUUGUGCUUCAGAAGGUUUUCUCCCAACCUUCAUAAAUCAAGCGAUAAUUGGAACAUCCAUAAGGUAAUAAUAACCAGAGCACAUAAAUCAAAGACUUUAUUCAAGUAUUUUCAGCUGGAUUAAGUCCAUAAGGCAAUAGUAAUACUGAAUUGAACAAGGUAUAGAAAGGUAUGACAGUCAUACCUUCCGAUGAAGACAUUUAGGCACAAGAAUCAUUUGUUUGUAACCAAUACUAGAAGCCAAUAAAGUUAUGCAAAACAAUCCAUAUUGACCUAAACAACAGCAAAAUUACAUUUUAAUUACCACAACAUAAAGUUUAUACAUAAGUUGUCUAUCGAGAUUCUAUUGAGAGAUUGGAUCAAACUACUUGGUUCAUCAGUUCCUGCGAUUCAUACAAACCCUACAACAUGUACUCUCUCCAAGUCACUCUGAAAUACUAAUUCUUGCAUGGUCUACUAAAGAAGAAGAAACUGUGAUAUAGUGCAGCGAGAUCACCUGAACACGAGGUUUCUAUAUUGAGAAUCUACUCCACUGCAUCUUGCACGAUACUUUGAUCAUAUGAUCCAUUGGCUCAUAUUAUCUUGGUCAGGUCAUGACCACUUAUUUCAGUAGAACCAGCUGGAUCCAUCAUGCUUCUGCAGCGAACCCCCCAUUCCUCUCUGCGAUACAUCAGAAUAAUCCAUUGCAGGUAUGUUUAAGCCAGAUCUGAAUCUGAAGCCACCACUUAAUUCAUUGGGUUGGUUGCUGAAUUGUUGCCCGAAUGGCAUCAUGUCCUCACGGAGGAAGAACUGAGGUUGCUGAACCAAGCUGCCAACUUGUUCGAAGAGACUGCCACCCGUUCCUGUCUCCUGCCUGAAGAAGUUGUCUUCCAUCUGAAUUCUGCUCUGGAGAGAAUUUGACCCUUCCAACACAGAAACGCUUCCCAAAGUCA